AUUGAACGCUGGCGGCAGGCCUAACACAUGCAAGUCGAACGAGUGGCGGACGGGUGAGUAAUGUCUGGGAAACUGCCUGAUGGAGGGGGAUAACUACUGGAAACGGUAGCUAAUACCGCAUAGCAUCAUAUGUGCCCAGAUGGGAUUAGCUAGUUGGUGGGGUAACGGUUCACCAAGGAGACGAUCCCUAGCUGGUCUGAGAGGAUGACCAGACACAAUGGAACUGAGACACGGUACAGAAUCCUACGGGAGGCAGCAGUGGGGAAUAUUGAACAAUGGGCGAAAGCCUGAGGCAGCAAUGCCGCGUGUAUGAAGAAGGCCUGCGGGUUGUAAAGUACUUUCAGCGGGGAGGCGUUACCCGCAGAAGAAGCACCGGCUAACUCCGUGCCAGCAGCCGCGGUAAUAC
rnacentral:rRNA from 1 species